UACGAAGGGUGCAAGCGUUACUCGGAAUUACUGGGCGUAAAGCGUGCGUGGGUGGUCUGUUAAGUCUGAUGUGAAAGCCCUGGGCUCAACCUGGGAAUGGCAUUGGAUACUGGCAGGCUAGAGUGCGGUAGAGGAUGGCGGAAUUCCCGGUGUAGCAGUGAAAUGCGUAGAGAUCGGGAGGAACAUCUGUGGCGAAGGCGGCCAUCUGGACCAGCACUGACACUGAGGCACGAAAGCGUGGGGAGCAAACAGG
rnacentral:rRNA from 1 species